AGCAGCAUGGCGCAGAUGGAAGCGCGCGGGGCCCAUACCAGCACGUGAUGAACGUGUAAUUUGCCACCCCGAGGUCACUCGAUCGAAACGAGUUGCUGCUA